rnacentral:rRNA from 1 species
AACGAACGCUGGCGGCAGGCCUAACACAUGCAAGUCGAACGCCCCGCAAGGGGAGUGGCAGACGGGUGAGUAACACGUGGGAACGUACCCUUCGGUUCGGAAUAACACAGAGAAAUUUGUGCUAAUACCGGAUACGUCCGAGAGGAGAAAGAUUUAUCGCCGAUGGAUCGGCCCGCGUCUGAUUAGCUUGUUGGUGAGGUAACGGCUCACCAAGGCGACGAUCAGUAGCUGGUCUGAGAGGAUGAACAGCCACACUGGGACUGAGACACGGCCCAGACUCCUACGGGGGGCAGCAGUGGGGAACUUUGCGCAAUGGGGGAAACCCUGACGCAGCGACGCCGCGUGGAGGAUGAAGGUCUUCGGAUUGUAAACGCCUUUUGUCGGGGAAGAUAAUGACGGUACCCGAUGAAUAAGCCACGGCUAACUCUGUGCCAGCCGCCGCGGUAAAAC